CCUACGGGGGACAGCAGUGGGGAAUAUUGCACAAUGGGGGAAACCCUGAUGCAGCGACGCCGCGUGAAGGAAGAAGUAUUUCGGUAUGUAAACUUCUAUCAGCAGGGAAGAAAAUGACGGUACCUGACUAAGAAGCCCCGGCUAACUACGUGCCAGCAGCCGCGGUAAUACGUAGGGGGCAAGCGUUAUCCGGAUUUACUGGGUGUAAAGGGAGCGUAGGCGGUUUAGAAAGUCAGAAGUGAAAGCCCGGGGCUCAACUCCGGGACUGCUUUUGAAACUGUUGAACUAGAGUGCAGGAGAGGUAAGUGGAAUUCCUAGUGUAGCGGUGAAAUGCGUAGAUAUUAGGAGGAACACCAGUGGCGAAGGCGGCUUACUGGACUGUAAAUGACGCUGAGGCUCGAAAGCGUGGGGAGCAAACAGGAUUAGAUACCCGAGUAGUC
rnacentral:rRNA from 1 species